rnacentral:rRNA from 1 species
UACAGAGGGUGCAAGCGUUAAUCGGAGUUACUGGGCGUAAAGGGCGCGUAGGCGGUUGAAUAAGUGAGAUGUGAAAUCCCUGGGCUUAACCUAGGAACUGCAUCUUAUACUGUUUAACUAGAGUAUUGUAGAGGGUAGUGGAAUUUCCGGUGUAGCGGUGAAAUGCGUAGAGAUCGGUAGGAACACCAGUGGCGAAGGCGGCUACCUGGACAAAUACUGACGCUGAGGCGCGAGAGCGUGGGGAGCAAACAGG